AUGUUGUUUCCUUUUUUUCAAAAAAAACUUCCUCUCUUACUCGGUUCUCUCUCUAUCAUUUCCUUAAAACAAAACAAAAAUCAAAUAAUGAAACUUAUGAACAGAAGAUCAAUCACGGCGGCAAGAGAACAACAGAGGCGGUCGGAGAUGGACUCACGGUGGUCACCGGCAAGGGCUCGCGGCGGCGCCACCGUGAGUAGCUCGGAACAUAAUUUUUUUUUUACAUUUUUCAGUUCGGUUUGUCACCCUCUUCAAAUCCGGAAACAGUUUUUCAAAAACAAUGAUCGAAAAGUGUAG